AACGCAUAUUGCGCUCUUUGGUAUUCCGAAGAGCAUGCUUGUUUGAGUAUCAGUAAACACCUCAAAACUUUUGAUUUUUUUUUUAAAAAAAAAAAAGUUUUGGACUUGAGCAAUCCCAACACCAAUCUUUUUUAGAUCGGCGGCGGGUUGCUUGAAAUGCAGGUGCAGCUGGACAUUCUCCUGAGCUAAAAGCAUAUUUAUUUAGUCCCGUCAAACGGAUUAUUACUUUUGCUGCAGCUAAUAUAAAGGGAGUUUGACCGUAUUGGCUGACUGAUGCAGGAUUUCACAAGGGUCGGCAACGAUUCUUGUAAAACUCGAUCUCAAAUCAAGUAAGACUACCCGCUGAACUUAA
rnacentral:misc_RNA from 1 species